ensembl:snoRNA small nucleolar RNA SNORA79
UGACGGCCGUUCCUCCCGCUGCUCCGAGCCAUGGCACGUGGGAUUUUAGGUUGUCAGAGAUCAUCUGGGUUGUCUUCACUCGGGUUUCAUGAGGCAGCAGGGCUGCUCUUACGAUCCCUGAAUUUUGCGAGGCCCAACACCA